UCGCGAAAACUUGUCAAUGGGGGAAACCCCGAACAGGGAAUUCCAAGUGCAUGCGUUUUACGUAUGCUGUUCUUAUGCCUAAAAAGCAUUUGAAGUAAGGGCUGGGUAAGACAGGUGCCAGCCGCCGCGGUAAUACCUGCAGCCCAAGUGGUAAUCGUUAUUAUUGAGCCUAAAGCGUCCGUAGCCGGUUUGGUAAAUCCUCGGGUAAAUCGGGCAGCUCAACUGUCCGAAUUCCGGGGCGACUGCCAGACUUGGGACCGGGAGAGGUCAGAGGUACUUCAGGGGUAGGGGCUAAAUCCUGUAAUCCUUGAAGGACCACCAGUGGCGAAGGCGUCUGACUAGAACGGAUCCGACGGUAAGGGACGAAACCCUGGGGCGCAAACCGGAUUAGAUACCCGGGUAGUCCAGGGCGUAAACGCUGCAGGCUUGGUGUUGGGGAUCCUACGAGGAUGCUCAGUGCCGGAGUGAAGAUGUUAAGCCUGCCGCUUGGGGAUACGUCCGCAAGGAUGAAACUUAAGGAUGCGGAGAGCACAGCACGGAG
rnacentral:rRNA from 1 species